rnacentral:misc_RNA from 1 species
CCAUUCAUAGCCACAUACCUAGCAAAUGGAACAGUUAAGUCAUACCGCAAAGAACAAAGCUCUCCACCCUGGUCGGCAAGAUCAUAAAUUAAUUUUGAAUCCUCCCCAUAUUUCCCCAUAAGAGUCUCUCUCAAUUCAAAUGCAGGAGUGUCUAAGGCCGUGGCACCAUGCCUCUUGAAAACCUCUGUUAUUAUUGAAAAUGCUCUUUCUCUUAUAGCCAUUUGCUCUUUGGCAAAAUCACGAGUCCCCUUUGGGAGUUUGGGAAGUCUUCUACUCUCAUUGCUUUCCACAAUUUCUUUCACUUUUUGUACCAAUUCAUCAAAAUCCGGUUCUUUUGGAUCCAAAAACAACAAAAGAUCUUGAACCCACUUUUCCAAUACCUGCAAACUAUCACUGGAAUCCCCUCCCUUGACCUGCAACCUAUCCUUAAUUAAUUGUACAAUCACACUAGUCCCUUUCCCCAAAGUCGCCUUUUUCUUCUUCUUCUCACCCUUCUUUACCACCUUCUCAUCCCUCCCGUUCUCUCCAAUUUCUUCAACACCCUUUGCACUCAUCAAUUCUCCACCUUCAAGUGCAACAAAAGCUGUUAUCCCCUCCCAGGCAACAAUACUCCACACGGUGCCCAAUAAUGCAUUCACUUCAUGCACAAAUUUCCAAGUGUCUUCCUCAAAGUCCGAAUCCAAUACCAGCCUAUAAGCAUUUCUUAACACAUUCUCAUUGGGGCAUUUCUUCUCAAACAUGCUUAGCAAACCAGUUUUCAGACUUUCAUUACCCACUGCAUCUAAAUUAGCUUUGGCCCGACAAAAGCUACUCUUCCCCAAAUUCUGAAGAGCUGCAGACAAUGCUAACACCGCCGGGAUGGCAUCACCCUCAUAGACUUCCUCACGGGAAUUCAAUGAGACACGCGUCACAGAAUGCACUGAUUUCACCACCUCCCUCAAUCUCCCAUUAAUUUUGGGAAUCUUAGAAAAGGAUUCACUCUGAACCUUACCAACAAGCUUAGACCCAUUAAGCAACAACUUCAUGUCUCCAGCAACACCAAUCCCCUCCUUGUCAACGAAGCCAUCUCCAGUGUCCAGGGAACUAAACGCGGCCACGUCAGCCUUCGCCGCCUCACACGACAAAGCAGCCACUGCAUCCACAACUGAAGCCAAAGCCGUGGAUUCAUGUUCCAAAAUGGAACAAACGCCGUAGACAUGAGCAGAUGAUUUCUCUAUUACGAGGCGUUCCUCUUCAGUCACUUCAAUGGAG